GGCGUGUUCGUCUAGUGGUCAGGACGCUGGACUCUCAAUCCGGAAACACGGGUUCGAUCCCCGUACGCGCUAC
rnacentral:tRNA from 2 species